UCGGAAGAGUUUUCCUAGAAUUGCUACACUCGGAGACAUGAGGCAAUGCUUACUCUGACUUUUGACGUUUUCAAGUGUACAGUUGAAAGUCAACAACAUGGGUGAAUGUGGCAACCCCUCCUUACACAAUCAGAGACAGUCACUGCCAAGCCGCUUCGUGGAUUGUCAUUAGCUUCCAAUGAGAAACAGGUGCACAAUCAAGGUCUAAAGAUAAAGAGGGUUAAGUGCAAGACAGCAGCCAUGACGUGUCGGUCCACGUACAGCCUGUCUGCCUGAGGGCUCAGUGAUCCAAAAAGACACUGCAGGUCAGCACUUCAGAGUGUUCGCAACAUCCGGGGUUACUUAACCCUGUGGCUUGACAAGCAGCAGAGAUUUGCAAACAAUGAUAGCUUCUGUGCCACUUCAGCCGAACACUGGCUCUGAAAACAGCCUCAGUAUCUGACAAGCUCUCAUUCCUGGGCUUGUGGCGUGGCUGUCCAUUGAGAGAGCCUAAGUAUAUCUUCAUGCCGAGGGGAUGGGAGCAUUUAUAUAAAUAAAUGUUUGCACUGAUUACAGCACUGCUGCCAAAGAGCUUGAUGGGCGAUGAUGAUCCGAUUUCGCCAUGGCAGCUUAUGUUUACAGAACCCGGCUCCAUUGCAGACAGGACAUCGAAUGUGUAACGCAGUAUUUAAAUGUCCACUGACAUUUACAGCUCGUGUCAGCCCAAGAGGGAAGAGGCGUUGGUGUCCCAGUCUGCCAAGGAGGGCUCCUGCUAUGGAAUGAAUGGUGUCACCCCGAAUCUCAUGUGUGGAAACCCUAAUGCCAAAGGGGAUGGUAUUUGGAGACGGAGCCUUUGGGAGAUGAUGAUGUUUACAUCAGGUCGUGAAGGUGGGAUCCUUAUGUUGGGAUUCGUGCCCUUGUAAGAAGAGACACCAGGGCACACAUGCUCCCUCGUGCUCCACCCCCCUCUCUCUCUGCCCUGCGAGACCAUCUGUAAACCAAGAAGAGGAACCUCUCAAGUACCCAACCAUGGUGCCACCUGGAUGUAAACAUUUCUGCCUCCAGUACUAUAGAGAAAUAAAUUUCUGUUAUUUAUGCCACCCCAUCUAUGGUCCAGUUAACCCUUAAACAACACAGGUUUGAAUUGCACGGGUCCACUUCUACGGGCAUUUUCUUCUACCUCUGCCACCCCGGAGCCAGCAAGACCAAUCCCUCCUGUCCGCUCUCAUCUUAGGCUACUCAAGGUGAAGACGAUAAGGAUGAAGACCUUCAUGACGAUCCACUCCCACUUCAGAAAUACUCUCCAGCUCCAGCAGCACUGAGGCAGAUCUGAGUUUCUCGAAGCUGGGCCCAUCACCAACAAGACAGUGAUGGUGAAAGCAAUGAUAGAAGAGGUCGAAUUUAGAGUAAGGAUCAGGAUGGACAGGAGAGAGCUGAACUUCAAGGAUGCGAAUUUAUUUCCACACAGGGGAGAAACACUGAUUGGAGAAAAUUUACAGUUGCUGUUUAGACACUUGAGCCUCAGGAUCGAGAAAAGGUGCACCUCUUAGAUGGGCCUUAAAUUGGAGAUGAUGAUAUCUAACCACCUGGAGA